rnacentral:rRNA from 2 species
UGGGCGUAAAGCGUGCGCAGGCGGUUUGCUAAGACAGAUGUGAAAUCCCCGGGCUUAACCUGGGAACUGCGUUUGUAACUGGCAGACUGGAGUGUGGCAGAGGGGGGUGGAAUUCCAAGUGUAGCAGUGAAAUGCGUAGAUAUUUGGAGGAACACCGAUGGCGAAGGCAGCCCCCUGGGCUAACACUGACGCUCAUGCACGAAAGCGUGGGGAGCAAACAGGAUUAGAUACCCUGGUAGUCCACGCCCUAAACUAUGUCAACUGGUUGUCGGGGAAGCAAUUCCGUGGUAACGAAGCUAACGCGUGAAGUUGACCGGCUGGGGAGUACGGCCGCAAGCUUCAAACUCAAAGGAAUUGACGGGGGCCCGCACAAGCGGUGGAGCAUGUGGUUCAAUUCGAAGCAACGCGCAGAACCUUACCAGCCCUUGACAUGUCCCGUAUGAGCACCGGAGACGGAGCUCUUCAGUUCGGCUGGCGGGAACACAGGUGCUGCAUGGCUGUCGUCAGCUCGUGCCGUGAGAUGUUGGGUUAAGUCCCGCAACGAGCGCAACCUUCGCCCUUAGUUGCCAUCAUUCAGUUGGGCACUCUAAGGGGACUGCCGGUGAUAAGCCGGAGGAAGGUGGGGAUGACGUCAAGUCCUCAUGGCCCUUACGGGCUGGGCUACACACGUGCUACAAUGGCGGUGACAGUGGGAUGCAAUGGAGCGAUCCUGCGCAAAUCUCAAAAAGCCGUCUCAGUUCGGAUUGUGCUCUGCAACUCGAGCACAUGAAGUUGGAAUCGCUAGUAAUCGCAG